rnacentral:rRNA from 1 species
GGGGCAGCAUAAAGUACUUGUACUUUGAUGGCGACCGGCGAACGGGUGCGUAACGCGUAUGCAACUUACCUUUUACUAGAGAAUAGCCAAGAGAAAUUUUGAUUAAUGCUCUAUACUCUUUUUAACUCACAUGAGUUUUUAAGAAAAGCUCCGGCGGUAAAAGAUGGGCAUGCGUCCUAUUAGCUUGUAGGUGAGGUAACGGCUCACCUAAGCUCCGAUAGGUAGGGGUCCUGAGAGGGAGAUCCCCCACACUGGUACUGAGACACGGACCAGACUUCUACGGAAGGCAGCAGUAAGGAAUAUUGGACAAUGGAGGAAACUCUGAUCCAGCGAUGCCGCGUGAAGGAAGACGGCCCUAUGGGUUGUAAACUUCUUUUAUACAGGAAGAAACCUUUCCACGUGUGGAAAGCUGACGGUACUGUAAGAAUAA